rnacentral:snRNA from 1 species
AUCGCUUCUCUGCCUUUUGGCUAAGAUCGAAUGUAGUAUCUGUUCUGGUCAGCUUAAGAAAGAUUUACCACCUGGUGCUGAGGAAGAAUGAAAUUCCUGUUAAAUUUUAUUUAAAAAAUGAAGUUAAAAGUGCAAGGCCAGGGCAGCUCAUCCUCU